AUUGAACGCUGGCGGCAUGCUUUACACAUGCAAGUCGAGCGGCAGCGCGGGGGCAACCCUGGCGGCGAGCGGCGAACGGGUGAGUAAUGCAUCGGAACGUAUCCCGGAGUGGGGGAUAACCUAUCGAAAGGUGGGCUAAUACCGCAUGAGCUCUGAGGAGGAAAGCGGGGGGACCGAAAGGCCUCGCGCUGUGGGAGCGGCCGAUGUCCGAUUAGCUAGUUGGUGGGGUAAAGGCCUACCAAGGCGACGAUCGGUAGCUGGUCUGAGAGGAUGAUCAGCCACACUGGGACUGAGACACGGCCCAGACUCCUACGGGAGGCAGCAGUGGGGAAUUUUGGACAAUGGGGGCAACCCUGAUCCAGCCAUGCCGCGUGAGUGAAGAAGGCCUUCGGUGUAAGCUCUUUCGGACGGAACGAAAUCGCUCGGUGAAUAAUCCGGGUGGAGUGACGGUACUGUAAGAAGAAGCACCGGCGUAACUAACGUGCCAGCAGCCGC
rnacentral:rRNA from 1 species